GAUAGCGAACAGACGCCCUCCGCUCCGCUCUCCACCCGACAGAGAGGCGAGCCCCUCAGCAUCACCAGCAUGCCCAGCAAGGUGGAGUGAGCUCAGCCGAGACCAGGACGAGAAUUCAUCACAUUUUAAAAGCUAUUCGACCGCUGUGUUAUUUAUAGCUUUAAGUUGCGAGGUUGGCGCUGGUCCAGACAUUAACUGCCAUGGCAACCGCAAAUGUAACGCUGGAGAAUCAGCUGCACAGCGCUCAAAAGAACCUGCUCUUCCUGCAGCAGGACCAUGCCAGCACACUGAAGGGGCUGCACGCAGAGAUCCGCAGAUUACAGCAGCAGUGCACAGACCUGACCUACGAGUUGACUGUGAGAAGCUCUGACCCGUCAGGUAAGCUCACCAACAAAACAACCAGACGAAAUGUAAAAACCUC